rnacentral:rRNA from 1 species
GGCGAGCGGCGCACGGGUGAGUAACACGUAUCCAACCUACCGGUUAUUCCGGGAUAGCCUUUCGAAAGAAAGAUUAAUACCGGAUAGUAUAACGAGAAGGCAUCUUCUUGUUAUUAAAGAAUUUCGAUAACCGAUGGGGAUGCGUUCCAUUAGUUUGUUGGCGGGGUAACGGCCCAUCAAGACAUCGAUGGAUAGGGGUUCUGAGAGGAAGGUCCCCCACAUUGGAACUGAGACACGGUCCAAACUCCUACGGGAGGCAGCAGUGAGGAAUAUUGGUCAAUGGACGAGAGUCUGAACCAGCCAAGUAGCGUGAAGGAUGACUGCCCUAUGGGUUGUAAACUUCUUUUAUAUGGGAAUAAAGUGAGCCACGUGUGGCUUUUUGUAUGUACCAUACGAAUAAGGAUCGGCUAACUCCGUGCCAGCAGCCGCGGUAAUACCGGAGGAUCCCGAGAGUUAUCCGGAUUUAUUGGGUUUAAAGGGAGCGUAGGCGGACUAUUAAGUCAGGCUGUGAAAGUUUGCGGCUCAACCGUAAAAUUGCAGUUGAUACUGGUCGUCUUGAGUCCAGUAGAGGUAGCCGGAAUUCGUGGUGUAGCGGUG